rnacentral:rRNA from 1 species
UACGUAGGUGACAAGCGUUGUCCGGAUUUACUGGGCGUAAAGAGCGCGCAGGCGGUCGAUCAAGUCGAGUGUGAAAGCCCCCGGCUCAACUGGGGAGGGUCAUUCGAUACUGAUCGACUCGAAGGCAGGAGAGGGUAGUGGAAUUCCCGGUGUAGUGGUGAAAUGCGUAGAUAUCUGGAGGAACACCGGUGGCGAAGGCGGCAUCCUGGACCGACACUGACGCUGAGGAGCGAAAGCCAGGGGAGCAAACGGG